CCCGCGUUGGAUUAGGUAGUUGGUGCGGGUAAUGGCCCACCAAGCCGACGAUCCAUAGCUGGUUUGAGAGGAUGAUCAGUCACACUGGGACUGAGACACGGCCCAAACUCCUACGGGAGGCACCAGUGGGGAAUCUUAGAGGGGGGGGGCAACCCUGAUCUACCCAUGCCGCGUGAGUGAUGAAGGCCUUACGGUUGUAAAGCUCUUUCAGCUGGGAAUAUAAUGACGGUACCAGCAGAAAAAACCCCGAGCUAACUCCGUGCCACCAACCGCGGUAAUACGGAGGGGGCUACCGUUGUUCGGAAUUACUGGGCGUACAGCGCACGUACGCGGACU
rnacentral:rRNA from 1 species